CCCUGGUUAGCUCAGUUGAUAGAGCACUCCACCUGUAAUGGAGAGGUCCCGGGUUCGAUACCCGGACCAGGCG
rnacentral:tRNA from 2 species